rnacentral:lncRNA from 1 species
UAGCAUAGAUGCUGUCUUAAUUCCAUCUCUCGGUUCUGCCCAACGCUGUUCAGAGGCAUGCUUGGAGACACAUGGAAUUGGCCUAGCUUCUAGUAUGUUCCCCCUUCGGGAGAUCAGGUCUUGAAGAAGCACCAGGACCUGUGCACGUGGGCAUUAUCAAAUCAGGUCUUGGACCUUGUGUAAGUCACUCUGAGCCUUUGCCUCCAGAUUUGGCAAGCAAAGGGACUAAGGUUCCCUCCACCUCUGACAUUAUAGGACUCAGAGACCUGGAACGAAGGAGGUUAUAAAUAACCGCUAAAGUCCUUCUUAGCUAACAACUGAGGGGAUUCAAAGAGGUGUCCCGAGUGGGUCCCAAUACCAUGGUGGGAAAGGAAAGUGAAGGAAACCUGUUUAUUCUCUCUUCUAUUAGUGCCUGCCCAUAUGAGUUCACGCUCAGUCUGGACUACAGAGAGAAAUGCUAUCUCAACAAAAACAGUGCUAGCAACAACAGGAGCGGCGACAGCAGCAAUAAGCCAGCGGGACACCCCAGCUUGACUAUAGAAAAAGUCGGUUUAAAGAUGCUGGCAGACAGUCAGUGGACUUACUGGGCAGAACAGGGCAAGAGGCAUUUUCAGAACCGGAAGCACAGCCACGCCACUUCCGGUUCCUUCCCAUUCUUAUUGGUUCUGAGGGCAGAACACGCAGGGGCUCAGAUAUAGGAGCUCUGCCCGCUGUCUGGGCCAAGACCUCUCCCAUGUCAUAUGUUCCUAUUUGUUGCAGGUGGUAGCCUUGGCAGCUUCCCUCAGGGAAAACGAGCAGGCACAAAUCCAUUCAUUGGACGUCUCGUCUAAAGAGCAGAAAAAUCGAAAGGCCAAUGGAGAGUCUGAGAAGACAGGACUGACCAUCAGACACCUAACCUUCAGCGCUGCCCGUGGCCCAGCCACAGCCCAUGUAACAUAAGUGGUGCCCUCCAUGUUUGCACUUUUAAUAACUCUUAUGUGUGUGUUC